AUUGAACGCUGGCGGCAGGCCUAACACAUGCAAGUCGAGCGGUUGAGGUAGCUUGCUACCGAAGCAGCGGCGAACGGGUGAGUAAUACAUGGGAAUCUGCCUGGUAGUGGGGGGCAACGUUUCGAAAGGAACGCUAAUACCGCAUACGCCCUACGGGGGAAAGGGGGGGAUCGCAAGACCUCUCGCUAUCAGAUGAGCCC
rnacentral:rRNA from 1 species